GACGAACGCUGGCGGCGUGCCUAAUACAUGCAAGUAGAACGCUGAAGAGAGGAGCUUGCUCUUCUUGGAUGAGUUGCUAACGGGUGAGUAACGCGUAGGUAACCUGACUUGUAGCGGGGGAUAACUAUUGGAAACGAUAGCUAAUACCGCAUAACAAUGGCUGACACAUGUCACUUAUUUGAAAGGGGCAAUUGCUCCACUACAAGAUGGACCUGCGUUUUAUUAGCUAGUAGGUGAGGUAAUGGCUCACCUAGGCGACGAUACAUAGCCGACCUCAGAGGGGGAUCGGCCACGCUGGGACUGAGACACGGCCCAGAACCCUAGGGGAGGCAGCAGGAGGGAACCUUUGGCAAUGGGGGCAACCCUGACCGAGGAACGCCGCGUGAGUGAAGAAGGUUUUCGGAUCGUAAAGCUCUGUUAUAAGUCAAGAACGGGUGUGAGAGUGGAAAGUUCACACUGUGACGGUAGCUUACCAGAAAGAGACGGCUAACUACGUG
rnacentral:rRNA from 1 species